rnacentral:rRNA from 1 species
UACGGGGGGGGUAAGCGUUGUUCGGAAUUACUGGGCGUAAAGGGCUCGUAGGCGGCCAACUAAGUCAUACGUGAAAUCCCUCAGCUUAACUGGGGAACUGCGUGUGAUACUGGAUGGCUUGGAUGUGGGAGAGGGAUGCGGAAUUCCAGGUGUAGCGGUGAAAUGCGUAGAUAUCAGGAGGAACACCAAUGGCGAAGGCAGCUCGCUGGAACGGUACUGACGCUGAGGCGCGAAAGCUAGGGGAGCAAACGGG